AAUCAUAGCAGCGAGUCGUGAGGGUUCGGCCCUCGGCGAACGGCUCAGUAACACGUAGAUAAUUUGCCCUUAGGUGGAGGAUACCCUCGGGAAACUGAGAAUAAUACUCCAUGAGAUUUAGAAUGCUGGAAUGCUUUUAAAUUGAAAGAUUUAUCGCCUAAGGAUAAGUCUGCGGACUAUCAGGUCGUAGUUAGGGUAAAUACCUGACUAGCCUACGACGGAUACGGGUUGUGAGAGCACUAGCCCGGAGAUGAUAUCUGAGACACGAUAUCAGGCCCUACGGGGCGCAGCAGGCGCGAAAACUUCGCACUGUGCGAAAGCACGACGAGGGAAUCCCAAGUGCUGGCUCGUAAGAGUCAGCUGUUUCUUUGUCUAAAAAACAGAGAGAGUAAGAGCUGGGUAAGACGGGUGCCAGCCGCCGCGGUAAUACCUGCAGCUCAACGUGGUGGCCCGCUAUUAUUGGGCCUAAAACGUCCGUAGCCGGUUCUAUAAAUGCCUGGGGUAAAUCCGUACGGCUUAACCGUAACGACUUUCCCGGGGUAGACCUGUUCAACUUGGGGACCCGGGAGGAGGGCUAAGAGGUUA
rnacentral:rRNA from 1 species